AACGAACGCUGGCGGCAGGCUUAACACAUGCAAGUCGAGCGCCCCGCAAGGGGAGCGGCAGACGGGUGAGUAACGCGUGGGAAUCUACCCAUCUCUACGGAAUAACGCAUGGAAACGUGUGCUAAUACCGUAUACGUCCUAAGGGAGAAAGAUUUAUCGGAGAUGGAUGAGCCCGCGUUGGAUUAGCUAGUUGGUGGGGUAAAGGCCUACCAAGGCGACGAUCCAUAGCUGGUCUGAGAGGAUGAUCAGCCACACUGGGACUGAGACACGGCCCAGACUCCUACGGGAGGCAGCAGUGGGGAAUAUUGGACAAUGGGCGCAAGCCUGAUCCAGCCAUGCCGCGUGAGUGAUGAAGGCCCUAGGGUUGUAAAGCUCCUUCACCGGUGAAGAUAAUGACGGUAACCGGAGAAGAAGCCCCGGCUAACUUCGUGCCAGCAGCCGCCGUAAUAC
rnacentral:rRNA from 1 species